rnacentral:misc_RNA from 1 species
CACAUCUCAACUCUCCAAUUACAUCUCUCUUUCUCGAUUUUCAUAUCAUCUCAAACUACAGCCAUGGCAUCUUCACAAAACCAGAACCCAUCAUCCAACUUUUAUGACUACCUGCCUGUUAUGGCCCACAAGCUUGGCGGCGAUGGCCUAAUCGGGGAGUUAUGCAAUGGGUUCAAUCUUUUGAUGGAUAGUGAAAAGGGUGUUAUCACCUUCGAGAGUCUUAAAAGGAAUUCUGCUCUAUUGGGAUUGCAAGAUUUGAGUGAUGAUGAUUUGCGGUGUAUGUUAAAGGAAGGUGAUUUUGAUGGUGAUGGCGCACUCAAUCAGAUGGAGUUCUGUGUUCUUAUGUUUAGAUUGAGCCCUGAGUUGAUGGAGGAGUCCCGGUUUUUGGUAGAGGAGGCUCUUUUACAGGAAUUGAAGGAUUUUUCUUAUUGAAUCUUCUUCAUUCUUGGGCAUUUGGGAUUUCUUUUCCCUUUUUACUUUGCUAUUAUUUUCUUGGAUGUAAUAAUUAGUAAUGUUAUUAGACAAUAAAAAAAUACAGAAAAAGAUGACAAAUUUAC